AUUGAACGCUGGCGGCAGGCCUAACACAUGCAAGUCGAGCGGAUGAAGGGAGCUUGCUCCUGGAUUCAGCGGCGGACGGGUGAGUAAUGCCUAGGAAUCUGCCUGGUAGUGGGGGAUAACGUCCGGAAACGGGCGCUAAUACCGCAUACGUCCUGAGGGAGAAAGUGGGGAUCUUCGGACCUCACGCUAUCAGAUGAGCCUAGGUCGGAUUAGCUAGUUGGUGGGGUAAAGGCCUACCAAGGCGACGAUCCGUAACUGGUCUGAGAGGAUGACCAGUCACACUGGAACUGAGACACGGUCCAGACUCCUACGGGAGGCAGCAGUGGGGAAUAUUGGACAAUGGGCGAAAGCCUGAUCCAGCCAUGCCGCGUGUGUGAAGAAGGUCUUCGGAUUGUAAAGCACUUUAAGUUGGGAGGAAGGGCAGUAAGUUAAUACCUUGCUGUUUUGACGUUACCAACAGAAUAAGCACCGGCUAACUUCGUG
rnacentral:rRNA from 1 species